rnacentral:rRNA from 1 species
GAUGAACGCUGGCGGCGUGCCUAAUACAUGCAAGUCGAGCGAACGGACGAGAAGCUUGCUUCUCUGAUGUUAGCGGCGGACGGGUGAGUAACACGUGGAUAACCUACCUAUAAGACUGGGAUAACUUCGGGAAACCGGAGCUAAUACCGGAUAAUAUUUUGAACCGCAUGGUUCAAAAGUGAAAGACGGUCUUGCUGUCACUUAUAGAUGGAUCCGCGCUGCAUUAGCUAGUUGGUAAGGUAACGGCUUACCAAGGCAACGAUGCAUAGCCGACCUGAGAGGGGGAUCGGCCACACCGGAAAUGAGACACGGUCCCGACUCCUACGGGGGGGAACAGUGGGGAAUUUUUCGCAAUGGGGGGAAACCUGACAGGACAAACCCGGGUGAGUGAAGGAAGUGUUUGGGUCCGAAAACCCUGUUUUUGGGGGAAAAAAAAUGUGGAAGGAAACGGGCACAAUCUUAAGGGACCCAAAGAAAAAAGCCCCGGUUAACUCCGG